rnacentral:sRNA from 1 species
GCUGGGUAUGGUGGUGCAUGCUUAUAAUCCCAAUGACUUGGAAGGCUGAGGCAGGAGGAUUGCAAAUUUGAGGCCAGCCUCAGCCACUUAGCAAGACCCUGUCUCAA